rnacentral:lncRNA from 1 species
AUAUAUACAUACAUAUAUACAUACAUAUAUAUAUACAUAUAUAUGUAUAUAGUAAAACGCUCUUUUUGCUAUCAAGUUUUUAACCCUUGGAUGAAAAUUUGUAGGGUCAGGAUGAUAUUAGUCAGUUAGAGUUGAGUGGUCCCCCUAGAGUUGAGUGGUCCCCACUGGAUUAUAGUAUUUAAUCCAAUGGUUAGAAAUAAUGAAAAGAGUUGAUCCAAAGGCUAAAAAACUGAUAGCAACAAUAAAAUUUUGCUACUAAUAAUAGCUCAGUCCAACUCUCUCUAU